GACGUAGGGAGCUAGCGUUGUUCGGAAUUACUGGGCGUAAAGCGCACGUAGGCGGCUUUGUAAGUUAGAGGUGAAAGCCCGGAGCUCAACUCCGGAACUGCCUUUAAGACUGCAUCGCUUGAAUCCAGGAGAGGUGAGUGGAAUUCCGAGUGUAGAGGUGAAAUUCGUAGAUAUUCGGAAGAACACCAGUGGCGAAGGCGGCUCACUGGACUGGUAUUGACGCUGAGGUGCGAAAGCGUGGGGAGCAAACAGG
rnacentral:rRNA from 1 species